rnacentral:piRNA from 1 species
UGCCAAGAAUAUUAAUCAAAUCUUCUUGUG